rnacentral:lncRNA from 1 species
UGGUCCCAAUAUUUAUUUUUGAAAAACAUUGCUAGCCUCCACGUGGCCAAAUGGCAACACCACUGCUCCUGUAAAAAACCAACCAUCAAUGCUAUAGCAAAGCAAUGACCAACCAUCCAUCUAAAUUUAUAUCCAACAACAUAAAACCAUGGCAACGGUCAAAGGCGAUGCCACGUGGCAGCCUGCAAUAGGUGCCAAUCAUGAUUACACAAAUGAUUUAAUGAAUAUGUAAUAAUAAUUAAACAAUGAAACAAACUACUGCCAAAAGGGAAAAAAGAAGAAGCUAGAGAGAGAUGUAUAGCCAUCUUGGAAUAAGAAACAGAUAACAUGAUUUAAAAGGGUAGCUUUUUUGUUUGUCUUCAAUUUUAUGAGAUUUAUUUAGUUUAUAGUUGAUAAUGAACACGUCCUUCUGAUGAGAUGGAGCCACGUCGCUUCUUUGAUUAUGAUAUUAUUAACCCCGUUAUUAAUCUUAAUAUUCGAAUCAUGAGGACUUUCGAGAAUCCUGUGUUUCAUGCAGGACCAAGCAUGUGGAAGUACACUAUCACUUCGUGAGAGAGAAGGUAACUUCAAGGAGAGAAAUACAGAUGUGCCACGUUGAAACUGAGAACCACGUUGCAGACAUAUUCACUAAAGGACGAGCAAUGCUAAGUUCAGCGAGUUCAGAAGCAACUUGGCAUGAAUGAGUAAAACAGAGAUAAGAGAGUUGGUGCUGAGGGAGGGUGUUGAAAGAUCAAUCACCACCUCUCUUGAAUUUUUCAUAGUCUUCCGGAAGACACUAGAAUCUUCUGGAUAUUUUUAGAAAUAUCUAGAUUACUUUAGAAUCUUUCGAAAUCUUCUAAACUUUACUAGAGUCUUCCGGAUACUUGCAAAAUAAUAUGGACUAUACUAGAUCCUUCUGGAAGGUACUAGAAUAUUCUGAAAUAUGAAGGAAGCUUAUGAAUUUCACUAGAAGCAUCUAGAAGCAUGGAAUGGUGUGUGCUUCUAGAAUUAUCCAUUAGUCCCUAUAAUAGGGAUGGAGUCUUCAUUUUGUGAUAUAUAGAUGCAUGCAAGAGAAAAUAAGGAAGAGUGGUCCCAAGUACUAAGAGUGUGUGUCUAAAGUUAAAAUGUCUUCCUAAAUUGUGAGUGUAUUAUCUCUUGUGUGAGAGUCAUCUCUUAUGAGUGAUAGUGUGUGUUGUUGUAUAUAAGUUAAGUAUAUAAGUAUUUGUAAUCAAUAAAAUUAUUGUUGAUUGUUGUGUUCGAACUCUUCACAAUGACAAUCUUCAUCGUCUUCACUAUUAACAUUUUUCAAAUCUCUAGAACAGUUGCUAAAUCAAACCCUAUAACUAGUGCGUGCUAAGACCACAUAGAUAGGUGAUGUUAAGAGCUUGUUCCAAGUCAAUCAAAAAGUACCUCCAAAGCAGUAUAUGAGCCCGGACAUCCUCUUCUCCACUUAUAGUCAAUUGAUUUUGAAUUAAAUGCUUUAACAUGCCGCUUUGGAUGUUUCAAGCAAGACUCUAUUUUGUUAGUGAUUGAUUACCCCUUUUUUGUGCCAAAAGUGCACCUGGUUUAAUCGUGAUCCUUAAUUCUAUGAAUUCAUGGUUUCUAUCUUCACGCAUGAGUUGGGGUCUCACGUGCGGGGAGGUGUUAAGAGCUUGUCCCAUAUCAUUCAAGUAGUCUCCUCCAAAACUAAUAAAUGAGCGUGAGCUGCCUUUCUAGUCUCCACCCAUUGCCAUUUGUUUAGGGUUGGAUGCUUUAACUGGUGAUAUCCAACUAUAUUGAUGAAAAUGAUGUCUCUUGUUAUUACAGUAGGAUGACUGGGUACUAUGUCGAGUUGAAAAAAGGCAACAAGUCAAAGAAUGUAUGGGAAGCACGAGACAGUCCCAGCAAGGAAUCGGCGGGUACUUCCCCGACAUUGUGGAGCUCCCUUCUGCACAAGAAUACUCAAGCACAAAUGCUAUCACAGAUUAUAGAUUAAGAGGUUGCCAAAUAAUAGCUUCCAUUCUCACUGGCCAACUUCUUUCUCACAUCGAAAGCAUUUCAAGUGAAAUCUUCCGAAACAGUAAUGAUGGCAGCCAAGUGGGUCACAUUAUGAAGAUGGUUCAGACACAGGAAAUUCUCCACUUGCAGAUUCUUUCUUUGAUACCAUUUUCAAUGCACCAAGGGGAAGAUUCAACGAGGGGACUAGGUACGAGAAUCUCCUUCCAUCCACCAUAAUGGUGACCAACAACAAAGAGGGUGCAGACCGCCUACCAGGCAACAUAGUAACUACCGUGCGUGUUGUUUAUUUUAUCAAUUUAUUUUAAUUCCUAAGCGUAGGAACAUAAUAUUUAGAAGUAUCGAUGUUAUUUUCACAGAGAGCUUGAAUUGCAAAAUUGAGUUUUGUUGCAAGUAUAUAAAUUAUAAAAAUAUGUUUUUUUGAUUUUUGAAAGACUGUGUGAAUAAAAAAUAAACUACAAAUGUAAAAAUGGCAUGGUUCAAGUAGCUAAUCUUCUCUUAGCUUAAAUGUUCUAAUUUCUUCUUUUUCAUAAACUCAACAAAAUUUAAAGACACAAUGAUAUUGGUUGAAUAAUUUUGCAAUGAAAAUAAGUUUUAUAUUUAAAGAAGUGUUUACGAAAUUGGUAAUGAAUUCAUAUACUAUUUCAAACACUUAGUAUGCAAUAGAUCCACGCAUUACUUGUACCUAGUAAUCUUGUUGACAAAUAAUUAAAUAUAUGUGCAACUUUUAGUUUUGAUCUUGAAAAUACCAUUAAUCAAUUCUAAACAACUAUUGAAACCAUUUUGAAAGAGAGAAAAAACUAAUUCAAAUUAAGGUUUGGAAGGGGACAUAGUCCUUGAACCAAGUCAAUAUAUUUAGCCCUUCAGGUUAGAGGGUUCAAUCAUGUAUGAAAGAUAAACUAAGAAGCUAAAAAACUUGACAUAAAUUGAAGGAAUAACUGAAAAUAUAAUAGCAUAAAUGGAAUUCAAGCAUUUAAAAUAAAUAAACUUACACCCAUUUAAUAGUGAAGUUUCAAGGAAUUUCAAGUCUUGAAAUAAAAAUAAGAUAUUCUUCCUUUCUCUCCACACUCUCUCUAGGUGUAGACUAAAAACUACUCCUAAAUUAAGAGAAAAUAAAAGUGAAAAAAUCCUCCAACUAAGGAGAGAAAAAAACCUCACUAAGAAGUUUGAACCUUUUUAAAGGCCAAGAAAACUCCUAAAGCUUCCAAAAAUAUGCUUGUACCAACAAGCUACCUCUAACUUUGUCCAAAAGCUACAUCUAACUUUGUUCAAAAAGUUACAUCUAACUUUGUUCAAAAAGUUAUCUCUAACUUUAUCCAACCACCCUCUUUUGGGCCAACCACUCUCACUCUUAAACCAACAAACUACCUCUUACUGUCUUACAUUGACUUGAAAUGAGUGAGUUUGAUAGGACCAAAUGGCAGGAAAAAAGCAUGAUGCACAAUUGUGCACUAUCAUCCUUUUCAACCGAUUGAGACAAUUCAUCAACCGAUUAAACUUUAAAGUUGGGUGUUUCUACUGCUUCUGAUGAACUGAUAGAAGCUUCUAAUUUAACCGGUUAAAAUUUAAAAAUUUGCAACUCUUUCACUCCAAAUCAUCUAUUCCAUGUUAGCUUUCAGGGGCUCCAUAAGUCUCCUGUGACUUCACAGGGAGACUUAUACAGUAAUGAAGCAACUUUCCACAUAAGGUCAUGGUUAUAAUCAAUUCAAUGGAGGUGUCAACAGGCUCAAAAUCCAAGCUGCCAAAAGCAUAUAUACUAAAUAAGACGAUCGUCACACGAUUCGUUGCACAAUCAUGGUAAUGGCGGAUGGCGGUCAGUAAUCAGUAUUAAGUCAAAUAUCUACUGUUGUACUAGUUGUUGUAUAAUAUGCAGCAGGAGCUAUCUCAACAGUAGAACUAUAUUUCUGUUCAGAACAACAUUUGGUUAUUUGCAUAAGCUCAUGAAGUGAGACAAAAUUAUUUAUUAACUAAAUAAAAUAGGAAGUAAAUGCAAAAAAAUAACAAGAGUGUUCGGGAACUAAUGGAUACUUCUUUAAGAUAAAAUUCAGUUUUACUAAAAUAGCGCAAUGGAAAAGCUAUGUUUGGAUCUUAGGUGAAAUAAAAUAAAAGGAAAGAGUAGAAAAAGAAAAUGACAUUAUAGAAACUGAAUUAUUUUCUUUUUCCCGGUUGGAUUAGAAAAAUGAGAAAAAAGGACUUUUAAUUAAAAAAAAUCCAAUUUUUUGUUUGGCUAUUCAUGAUUAAAAUCCUUUAUUGUUCUUUGGUUAUUUAUAAUUACUUGAAUAAUGUAGGAAUACAUUUAUUUAUAUAAGCAACUUCAUUUCACUUGCAUCAUUUUCCCUUCACUUGGAAAAUUAAAGAUCCAAACAUAGCGUUAUCGUGUCUCAAAAGCUUACAAUUUGGUGGAAAAAAAAAACAGAAAAAAAACAUCUUAACACUAAAAAUAAUCUAAAGACUAGGAUUUUUGUUAUUUUGACAAUCAUCCACUUUUGUAAAAUCACUUCUGGUAUUAAAUCGCUAGUUGUCUCAAAAACUUAAGCAGGUAGGUAAUAGGUCCAAUAAUACACAUCAAGAUAUCCAACACCCUCUAUCACACAAACUGGAAUAAAUACAAACAAAAAAACUUGAACCCAAUUUCUAUAAAAAACCAAAACCUUGAAUUUAGGUCACAAUGAAAUGGGUCCAACAAUGUAUAAACCUAUCUAACAUUUUGCCUCAAACUCCUUGUCCCCCUACUCUCCCAACUAUGCCUCGAGAGUUGAGUUCAAGAUUACCACCACAUCGUGUCGUUGGGAGUGCAUUGAGAUAUGAGACCAGAAGUUUUGGGGACAGAUGAUCCUGGAAAUUGACGGAAGCUUCACCACAACAAGCGAUAGCUUAAACUAGUAUAUAACCUUUAACACUCUUACCAACAACCUUUCCAACACGAACACGAACACUAACACCAUCCCCUCUUUCUCCAGGGAGAGGAAAAUAAAUUAGUUUAGAAGAAAUGAAAAAAACGGAUGAGACCAAAACCCAAUACACAUCGAAUUAUGAUCGACAGAGACAUUGUUCAUUAAAAUGAUUCAAGAUGCUAUAGGAAGCCAAUUAGUGGAAAAGAGGAGUCUGCCAAGAACCUUAAAUGACUAAAUAUUGGUGCACCAGACAGCCUACUUGAUUAGGUUGCAAUUCAAACUAUUGUCAACAAGAAAGAGUAACUCUAUAAAAUUCUCUUAGGUAACAAACCACGAAUAAUGUAGUACAAGAUCCCAUAUACUACAGCACAUAUUCUUACCAUCUAGGUCAAACAAAGAUAAAUCAUACAUUGAGCUGACAUUGUGGUUUAUGGUUUGUCCACAAAGACAAAAACUUUAGUUUUGAAACAUCUCCUGAGACUACCAACCCAACAUGGUACUAAGGCCCUCUGAAGAGAACGACAUAUUCAGGCAGUUAAGUUCAGAAACUGUUUAAUAUGAGAAUGAAGAACACUUUAAAAGGAUGCAAACAAAGAAACUUAAAUUCCAUUACCAAAGGUAACCAAAAUUGUGUAAUUCUGAAUGACAGGAAAAGGAUACUCGAAAUUAUCCCUGGCCCAUAAGCUCUUAUAUCAAGCCAGUCAUGAAGUGACACAAUAUGGUUUGAUGUAACAAAACCAUCAUUCAAGGAAAACAUGGCGUCAAGUUAACUACGACCCAAGAUAAAACAGUUACACAGCAACAAUCCACAAAAGCAAUAUGAUAGCAACACAAAUGGCGUCUUAUCGCACCGUAUAUCAAGACAACUUGGUGUCUUAACGUUUGACUGGAUGAUGAAUAACACCAGGACAAUAAUGUCACCGAGAAAAAUGAUAUUUUCAGAAAAUUAUUAGAACAUAUAUCAAGGUCACACGAUAACAGCAAUGCAAUAAGGCAAUCAUCAACAGUCCAUCAUCAAGGAAACUAGCUACCUGAGGACUAAUUAGUUCUCCAAUAAUGCAGCAAUUUCGUUUGAAACAGAACUGAAAUUUAGCUCUUACCAGGACGGAGAAUAAGGAAAAAAGUAUGUAUCAACAUGACAAGAUUACUUGCAUAUCCUUAGGCAACAGUUAGCCAAGGCAACGUUGGAACAACUAACAACCAUCCCUAGGCAGCAUGUAAAAUCUUUUAGCCCCACUUGAACGUAUGCUUGAACAAUAUGGUUCCAUCGAACCUUUACACCAUUAAUAGAGGCUCCUAUAUACCAAGGAAACUUGAUAUUAAGUUCAUAAUCAUAAUUAUGUGACACUGUAAAAUUCCCCCAAAUGGUAGUUUCCAUAAUUAUAGCAAACACGAAUCGCAAGACCAGGGAAUUAGCCAAAUUCCUAUCUAGCAAGAUAAUAGCUUCUACAUAUCAAGACAAGCAUGUACUGAGCCAUGUGCUGACUUGAACAUUGUAAAGGAAAAUGAUUUAGAAACAGCAUAUGUGUAAAAAUAACUCGUCUAGAUCGAUGGGCAAUGGCACUUUCAAAAUUAUGAGUCAUAGUGGUGGACCUGUGGUUAUUUUGGUUUGAAACGAGAUCACCACGAAAGGCCAUGCUAUUCAAUAUAAGAAUUCCAUAUGAAAAAUCCGGCUUAUUGUUAGCUUACCGCAGACAACAAAUAAUGCCAAAAUAAUUGCAAUGGAACCACACACAAGAAAAUAUAGAGAAAUUUAAAUAUUACUAGCUAUACUGUUAGAAAUUUUGUGUGAAUGAAAGCUAAAGAGGAAUGGUUUAAAACUCCUAAAGGAGUUAUUAUAGAACCAAAUUGCAUCUUUCUUACAGCCCAAUGAUGCUUUAUCUGGGCCAUGACCAGCUCUAAUGGUUGUCAUGGUGAAUUCACAAGCACCUAUGAUGAGGGUUAUGACAACAGAAUUAUAAUGAUUAAAAUAGAGCAUUUGUUUGGCUUAAUGCUGAGGUUUAGCAAUGAAGGAAAAACACACCAAUACAAACACCAACAGAAACAAACACACCAUACAUUUGAGUUCUUUGAGAGAGAGAGAGACAGAUUAACAGUUUAGUUCGCCAAGUACUUUGGAAGGUGUUCCAAAGUUAGUGGUUCUAGCCGUUUUAUCCUGGGAGGAAGAUGCGACAGCACCUACAACACCCUCGGUAGGCGGCGAAUCUUUCUUAGGGAGAUGCGAUUGCAGGACUCGGUUUACUCUGUUUGUAUCUCUAUAUUUCAGUUUCUGAAAUUAAAUUCCUGUAAUUUAAUGUGAUUAAUUGGAAAAUUAUUCUUGAAAUUCUGUAUUGGCCGAAUCAAUUUUUUCCAACACUCUUAAGAAAGAUCCUUUUUUGAUCUUGCGAUAGGCAAUCGAAUUUCAAAAAUGAUUCUGUUCAGUUCUAUGUGGAGAUGCAGAUCUAUACAUGUAGAAAGUGAGAAAAAAAAAAUAAAAAAUAAAAAAAAUUAAACAGUCUGUUUUGAAAGGAAAAAAAAAAUAAUUUCCAUUUACAGAAAUUGAUUUUGAUUAUUGCGGAAACCACAGAUUUUAGUUAAUUUUUUUUUAGAAUACUAGUUUCUCUAUAUUUUUUUAAGAGAAAAAAAAGGGAUUCAACUUCACCGGAAAAACACUUCGGUCGGCAUGGGGUUGUCGAACUCCGGCGAGAUGAAAUGGUAUCGACGUGUGAAGAAAAAAAAAAUUAUAUAGACAGAGAGAGGUCUCUCGUUAUGUAGAAGAAAGAAAGGAAUGAGAGCAAGAGAAAGAAGUUGAGGAUAGAAAGGAAGGAAAAAGGAAAUGAAUCAGAGGAAAGAGGAGAGAGGAGAAAAGAAGUGAAAGAGGAAGGAGAGAGUAUAAAUAAAUACUGCGAAUAUAAUAUUAUAUUUAAAUAUAAUAUUAUAAAAGCAAAAGCAGGCAGAUGGGGCAGUUUGUUCUUUUAAAAGCAAAGCAUGCGUAUGGGGACAUGUUUUUUUUUUUUUUAAUAAUAUAUAUCUUAGUAUAUAUUAUAAUAUAUAGGGAGACAAGAGAGUGACAAAAAGAGAAAUAUUAAUGAAUAUAUAUUAAAGUAAAGAAAAAAAAAUGUGCAUGUUCGAAGUGAUAGUAGAAGUAUAUUAUAUAAAUAAAUAUAUAAUAAUAUAUAUAUAUAUUUAUAAUUAAAAAAAAAUGCACGCGCAAGAGCUCAUGACAAAUGUUCUUGUAAAUUAUAUUAAUAAAUAGAUUAUAUAUAUAUAUUUAUAAUUAAAAAAAAAUGCAGGCGCAAGAGCUCUGAAAAAUGAAUGUAUAAUUAUAGUUUAACCUUUAUAUGUAUUGUAAAAAAAUUAGAUUUUCACCCAGUAUUUGCAAAAGUAUUAUUUUAGCUCUAAAUUUCUUUAAUUACAAGUUUUAAUUCAAAAUAAGUUGUAAUUAUUAUUUUAACCACAGAAGUUUAAAUAAUUACAGAUAAACCCAAUAUGUACGCCACUUAUAUAUAUAUAUAUAAUUUUUGUUUUUAUUUAAAAAAAACAUAACAAAAAUUAUUAUUAUUUUUCAUAGUUGGUAAUUGACAGAUUUACUAAAUUUUGGAAAAAAUUACAUCUAUAUCCAGAUUUUAUGAAACUUAUAAAUUGGCAAAGUGUGGAAAUUAUAAUUUUAUAAACCAUAUUUUGGUCAACCGUACGCGGUUGACUUGGAUCAGAGUUGAUAGGCUACGGCCUUAGGCAGCUGUGUGGGCUGACUUUGUGAACAAGGCGGUUGAAGCUUUUGUUCAUAUUGGACGGUUGGAGGUUUUUCGAACCGAUUAGAGUUGGCCAUUGCAUACCGUUUCGGGUUUUCAAGGGUCAAUCUCUCAGCUAGGGCGUUGCCUCUCAAAAACACUUGAGUAUAAAAUUGUAUACCAUUUAGGUGAUUAUUGUUUAGAUUGUUAAUUAUUCUAUUGCGAUAUUGUGAGGAUCUAUGCAACUUUAUAUGUGGUUGAUCUUUUUCAGAUAAGAAAAAAAAAAACUCGAAAACAUGGCGACUAAUGCUGUUGAAACAAGCACUCAAGUUGCAGUUUCUGGGAGAACUGCGGCUCGAACCCCUGGUGUUCACAACGAUCCCGAUGGCUCAUGGUGGAAAACCAAGAAAAGUUUGGUGGGGCUGAUUUCAAGACGAUGGCAACGAAGAUGAUGUUUUAUCUUACGUGCUAAAUCUCGCUGGAUGCUUAAUGAAGAAGCUCAGUUGUACUGAAAAGAGACGGAUACGUCAGCAGGUGAUUGCGAGAGAUCACUGAAAAAUGUGAUUAUCUAGGCAAGAAUUAUAUUCUCAAUGCCCUGGAGGAUUUCUUUGAUAAUCGGUGUACAACGGAUCUUAAUCUUCUAAAGGGUUGUGGGAGUCCUUAGACCUGAAAUACAAGAUCGAGGAGCCGGUUCUAAGAAAUUUAUUGUUGGCCGGUUUUUAGACUAUGUUUAUGCUGGACAGAGAUCGGUAAACGGCUCAGUUCCAGGCUGCUCCAGGUUCUCAUAAAUGAAUCAAAGCAGAAGGAUGCUAUUGAGGAAGCAUUUUCUUUUUUGGGAGGGGGGGUUGGGGGGCGGAAGGGGGGGGGGGGGGGGGGGGAGGUGUGGGGGGGGGGGGGGGGGUGCGACGGGUGGGGGGGGGGGGGAGUGGUUUUUUUUUUUUUUUUAGUGGCUGCAGUCAUCCACAAGCUCCCAAAGAUAUGGAAAGAGUUCAAGAGCUAUCUCAUGUUUCAAAAAUAAGGAGCUGACCUUGGAGGCUCUUUUCUCAAGCUACAUGUUGAGGAGAAAAACAGGGCAAGAAACAAGGUGCCAACCCUUCUAUUGGCCAAGCUACACAUAAUGAGCAUGGUCAGUCUCGAAGACGAAGAAGUCUUUUCAAGGACAAGUGGUCAAAUGAACCAGAAAGGCAAGAGUAUGUCAAACGGGACCAAAGGGCGAUUACAAAGAAGGCCCAUGGAAAAGUGUUAGGGUACAUGCUUCCCACUGUAACAAGUUUGGCAUCGUGCUUCAUGAGUGAAGAAAACCAAUGCAACCUCGAGUUAAUGCAAUAUGACGAAGGUCAUCACGGAGGGUGUAGAUGAUAUCAACCUCUCAAGCAUUUUUUCUGAAGUGCAACCAUGGUGGGGUCAAACCCCCAAGAAUGAUGGAUAGAUCACGGGGCUACCGACCAUGUCUGUUGCGAUAGACGUAGGUUCACUACCUUCGAGCAGCCAGCAAAUGGUGAACCGGUUUAUGAAAAAUUCAGCCACCUCCGACGUUGCGGGGAGUGGAAAGAAUUGAAAAGUGUUCGAAAAUGACUUCAGGAAAAGAGCUGAAUCUGAACAAUGUGUUAUCUCGGCCUGAAAUCCGGAAGAAUAUAGUGUCUGGCUAUCUGUUGAGCAAACCAUUUUUGGGGGUUUGAUUCGUAUGGUUUGUGAGGCAAAUAGAGUUACUCUGUCAAAAGGCUUGGGGAAUGUAUGUAGGUAGGGAAAUGUUAUAUGAUUGAUGGAUCUAUUCAAAAUGAAUGUAAUGACUGUAAUCCCUACAAUUAAUAAGAAAAAUUUCCCAGUGUUUAUGUGCUGGAGCGUCCAUUUUGUGGUAUGGCAGAAAUAGCGCCAUGUAACUUAUGAUGCUAUUUACGUAGACUAAUUAACUUUGCGACCCAUUCCAACAUUUCACAAUUGAUAAAAAGCACAAGUGUGAGACUGGUUGAAGCAAAGUUACUAGGUCUUCAUUUCCUCGAUGAAAGAGAGUACGAACCAUUGGGGUUAAUUUCCAAAUUAUGUGUGUGAUUUGAAGUAUGUUGCGAGAAAACACCCAAUGCUAACAAGUAUUUCAUUACAUUCAUUGAUGAUUGUAUGAAAUGACUGAUUUUGUGUGUACUUGCUAAGAAGCAAGGAUGAAGCUUUGGACAAAUUCAUUCUUUAUAGAAUAAAGUAGAAAAUCAAUUAGCAAGAAGAUUAAAGUUUGCCGAAGUGAACGAGAGUGGUGAAUAUGACUCCAACGUUGUUGGAUACUAUGGAGAAACGGACUUAUCUGAUCAAACGACUGCAUCUUAUUCUCCUCAACAGAAUGGAACUGCUGAACGAAAAGAUCGUACCCUAAAAGAUAUGAUGAAUGCUAUGUUGAUAAGUAUUCUGGAUUGCCUCAGAACAUGUGGGGUGGUGAGCGAUUCUCACUGCCAACUAUAUCUGAAAUAGUGCCUCGCAAGAAGUUGGAUAAAUCCACGUAUGAGUUAUUUAAACGGAGGAGUCCACUCGACUUUUACGUAUGUGGGGAUGUCUUGCGAAGGGUGGGCCAUACCUCCUCCUAAAAAGGAAAAGAUUGGUCCCCAAAAAUGUUGUGCUUGAUGGUGUAUUCACGGUUAUGCCACAACACAGUAGUGCCAUAUCGGUUUCUUGUGUAUGAGUCUGUAAUACCAGAUAUCAUCAAGCAUACCAUACAUGGAGGAUAGGAAUGCGUCAUUCUUUGAACACAUUUUUUUUAAUUUUUCCAUAUAGAUCCAUUGGUGAGUCAAGUUCAGUGGAAACGGAAUCUGGCAUCCUACUAAUGACGCAGCAAGACCAAAAAGAUGGAAUUUGAAAUAAAAUUGCAGACGUAGCAAGAGAAUAGAAUGUCAACAUCUUUUGGUCCAGAUUUCCUAACUUAUAUGUUAAAAAUGAGCCUCAGACAUACAAGGAAGCAGUGAGUUGUCCUUGAAGGUCCAUUGUUGGAAAGAGGCUAUAAGAGAUGAGAUUGAAUCUAUUCUUCAAAAUCAUACGUGGGAACGGCGAUAGUUUACCGCCAGGCAGUAAGCCUUUGGGGAUACAAAAGGGAUCGAUUUAAGAGAAAGAUGAAAGCCGAUGGAUCCAAUAGAUAAGUACAAAGCUAGACGCUUGUUAUCAAAGGCUAUAGACAAAACAGAAGGUCGAGACUACUUUGAUACUUAUUCACGCAAGUCUAUAGAAUUACAUAUUAGGGAUGAUAAUUGCUGGAUCGCAAGCUUUGCGAAAUCUCGAGAUACAUAAGAGGUGCUAAAACGGACUUCCUGAAUGAGAUUUAGAUGAAGAACUCUACAUGAACAACCUGAGGGUUUUUCACGCACUUGGAAAGAAGGGAAAGUCUGAUAGACUGUAGUCAUUGUAUGGUAUCACAGCAAGCACGAAACAAUGGGCAUAAGAAGUUUGACAAAAUGUUGUAUUGUCUAGUGGCUUUCCAAAAUCAACGAAUGUGAUAAAUGUGUAUAUGCAAGGACACAGACGAAGGGUUAUGUUAUUGUGGUCUUACACUGAUGCAUGAUCAUGUUGGUAGUAACGAUAAAGUUAUCAAAUCAUACAAAGACCUUAAAUUUUCGAAAUUGAUAAGAAGGAUAGGGAAUAGCCAGAUGUGAUUCUGGGUAUGAAAUUACCAGAAUAUCUGACGGAAUUGCAAUUUCUCAGGACACACUAUAUUGAUAAAAUUUUCACCCAAAAAUUCAAUAAAGUCUGUACGAAUGUGGCAAGUACUCUUAUAGAUGUAAAUCUCCACUUAUCUAGAAUGGGGGGAAGAUGACUCCCAAUUGGGAGUAUUCUCGUAACAAUUGGAAGUUUAAUGUAAUUGAUGAGUUGUACAAGACCCGAUAUCGCCUACUCAUUGAGCAGACUGAGCAGGUAGCACAAGUAAUCUAGGAAGUGAUCACCUGGAAGGCGAUAGUAAGGGUUGCUACGCUAUUUAAGAUAUAUCGUGGUUUUGGACUGCAUUACACUAGAUUUCCCCCCACCAAAAGUGCUAGAAGGGUAUUUGCGAUACAAAUUUGAUAUCAGAUAUGAAAUACUCGAAAUCCCACGAGUUGGAUAUGUCUUCAUGCUUGGGUGGUGCAGCGUGUCUUGGAAAUCUUCUAACUAAACAGACGUGCAUUGCACGUUCUACUAUGGAAUCAGAGUUUAUUGGCUCUCAAUACGGCGGCUGAGGAGGCAGUGGCUAAGCCAGUUUUUGGAAGAUAUCAAGUGGUUGAAACCUGUGUCUUCUGUGCUAUUAACCAUCCACUGCGAUAGUCAGUCUGUCGAUUGGGUAUGGCACAACGUAAUAAUGUAAUAAUGUAAGUCUAUACAUAUUCGUCGUAGACAUAAUACCAUUAGACCACUACUCUCAAUUGGGGUUGUCGCUAUUGAACUACGUGAGGUCAAAUGACAAUAUUGUGGGAUCCACGACUAAAGGGUUACCUGGAUGAGUUCUUUUGAUCUAGCAUCGAAAGAAUGGGGUUUAAGCCUAUGAAAGAGAAAGAUAUCGUAAGGAAAACCCAACCUAGGCUGACUGGAGAUCCCAAAUCUAGGUUCCAAUGGGACAACCUACUUUGCGUAUAUCUAAAGAAUCACUGUGGGUUGAAAACUCUACCUGUGCCUAUCAUGCAAUAAGUGAUUGUGGAUAAGUUAAGCAGUAGCUUUUUAAUGACUCUUUGGGUACUGGUGGCCAGGACUGGAUAUUAGUGAAAGUUCAUAUAAGAAGUCACCUAUGUGAGGUAUGUGAAGUGGGGUCCUUCUUUGAAAAUUUUGAGAUGCGAAAUUUUCAAGAAAAUACUUGCAGAACCAGGAAGAGUGUUUCCAUGGCCGAAAUGGACACAACAGUGAGAACUAAAACUGCGUCAAGAGAAUUCCCCUGUGUGACCGUCUUUUGUCUCAAUUUACACCUGCGGCGGUCAACAGUUCAAGGCGGGCUCGCCCACUUGGUCUGCUAUUACAUUCGAUAGGCUCUUCACAAGGAAAGUUCAAGGCCAGAGAGCUACCUACCUCUGCAGGAUCAUCUGUUGUCUCUCUCUGCAAGUCUACAUUAGUCCGCAUGAAAUUUUCAUUCAUGGGGGGAUUGUUAGAAAUUUUGUGUGAUGAAAACCAUAAGAGGAAUGGUUUUUAACACACUCCCUAAAAAGAGUUUAUUAUAGAACCAAAUUGCAUCUUCUUUAACAGCCCUAAUGGCUACUUUAAUCUUGUCAUUACAGCCUCUAACGGCUGUCAUGGUGAAUCACAAGCACCUCGUGAUGAUGGUUAAUGUCCCACUAGAAUUAUAAUGAUUAAAAUAGAGGCAUUUGUUUUUUGGCUAUAACUGCUGAGGUUUAGCAUCUGAAGAAAAACACACCAAUACAAACACCAAUAGAAACAAACACACCAUACUUUGAGUUCUUUGAGAGGAGAGAGACAGAUACAGUUGAGUUCGGCCAGGCGCGUGGAGGUGUUCCAAAGUAGUGGUGUCUAACCGUUUUUCCUUGUGGGGGAAAAGAUGAUACUCGAUAGACCCUACAACCCCUCGUAGCGGCGAAUCUUUCUUCAGGAGACUGCGUGCAGACUCGGCUUCUCUGUUUGUAUCUUUAUAUUUUCAGUUUUCUGUAAUUUAAAUUCUAUAUUUUAAUUGAUUAAUGAAAUUAUUUUUGAAAUUCCUUGUAUUGGCCGAAUCAAUUUUUUCCAACAUUUACAUCAAGCACCUAUGAAUUGGUUGAUUUACGCAUAACAUUGAGGCUCUCCAGUACUAAAAUGUCGCUAUAGAUCAACUACCCAUUAACAAGAAAAUAUGGUUCAAAUCCUCCAUAACAUAUGUUAAAGCAAUAAAUUUAUCAGCGUUCAUCCGAUUGCAAUCGAAAAUCACAAUUAGCACGACACAUGGCAAAUAACAAUGAAUCCAAGUCAAUUAAAGAAUAUUAAAUCAAAUCGAACAGAAAUGUGAUCAAGAGAGCUUCGCGAUCAAAAAAGGAAAUUCAUUGGACUAAAUGAAGUAAACGAAAUUCAAAUUCAUCACGAAAACCAGAGAAAUAUAUAGAUCCAAAAUUCGUGGGGGUUUCCAAUUACCGAUCGCAAAGAAACGAAUUCUUCCGAUUGAGAUGAGGGAGAAAUCAAGCGUCGGGACUGGAUUUGUAGCGGUAGAGCUUACCGAAGACGUGGAGAGCGGUGAAGAAGCCGAUGAAUGAGAGGCUUAUUACGAGAACCACGGUGAGGCUGAUCUUCGGCCACGAAGCGUCGUCCGUGUAGAACCUCAGCACGUUGCUUCACCGCCUCCGCCUCAUCCUGGCGGUUGCCGCUGCGGAACCGCGGGGGGCGGGGCGGGAGGAGGUUGAUGCUUGGGAUUGGGAUGAACCUUUCGCCAUUGUUUAGAAGUGCGGACUUGGCGAGGUGAGAGAGAGGGGGUAGUAGAACUGUAAUUCUUGGGCAGUUUGUGGUGCUAUUCAAUGAACUCUUACAUUGCGGUAGCUACCAUUUCCUUAGAUUUUAGUUGAGUUGGAUCAUGGGGGUCAAGGAUCCUGUCUUAAUAUUUCUGUCCCCGCCAUCUGUCCCCGCCACCUGUUUCAGUGCUAAAUAGUUGACACGUGUCUUUUUAUAAUUUAUAAAGAAAUAUUAUGUAAUUAUAUUAAUUACAAAAUAACACGUGUCAACCAUUUAGCACUGCGGCAGAAAGCUGGGACAGAAAUAUUAGGAUGGGGAUUCUGGCCCCAUGAUCCCUCGUUAUGAAGUCUGGAUCUAUAACGGCUUUUGGCUUGAGCUAGUCAUUGGACGCCAUCAAGUUUAUGGUUUCGUAAACUAAAACAUCACAAACAUGGAUGCCAGGAAUGGAAUUUAACAAACUUGGAAUCUAUGAAAUGGGGGUAAAAAUAUGGAUCAAUUUGGUUAUUUAAUUGUUAUAUAUGAUCAAUUUGGUUAUUUAACAAAUAUAAUGGAAUUAAAUUUUUAAAAAUGCCCCAAUUAUAAUAAAAGGUACCGUAUAAGUAUCAAUACUCAUACAUGUACGAAUCGUUUAUACCAAAUAAGGUAAAAAAUUGUAAAAGAGGGAACACAGGUUUUUGAAAGUAGGGUGUUGGCCGGAAAAUCGAUCACACCAAGUCACACAAAUCAAGAUAACUCAGACACACUAACACAAUUGAUUACGAGGUCGCAAGAUGCCUACGUCCUCGGGUGACAGAGUUUCACUAUUUAUGGAAGAAAACCGAUUACAUCUCAGUUUCCUCUCUCAAACAGACAAGAGAGAAGAAAUAAACCAAAUAAACUAAACUACGCUUCUAUCUCCUUCUCCUAUAUCUGAGCCUUGUAUGUCUUUUUAUAGCAAAGGAUAGAAUUCAAAUCCAACAAGGAGGACUGUAAUUCCAUCAAAAAAGAAGUUGAAGCCAAUCCAACACAAGGUUGAAAACCAAUCAAGAUUGAAGAGUUUGAAUCCAACUCCAAACAAUCUCAACCUUGCGAAACUUCUCCCAAAUAAGAGUAACGAUUGUGCCACCAAUGCGCUUUAGCCCUUGCUGCGGGGAGAUAUUGAUCAAGUCCAAGGCAAUGUUGAAACUGAUCCCAGAAGAGACAACAACCUUUUUUUUUUUUUUUUUUGUUUUUUUUUUGUCAUUUUUUUUUUUUCUUUUUUUUUUUUUUAUGUCCUUUUUUUUUUCAUUUUUUCAUAUCAGCAGGGUGUUCGCAGUAACUGAUCUUCUCUUAAAACAAUUAUAUCUCCUUCAUUCAAAAAUUUCUCGAAACACAAAAUGGAAAUCGACAUCAUGUGCUUGGCGGUAUGAGCAUUGAUGGCAACAGAAUUCUUCGCUAAACAACUAGCACCGACGUCACAUUAAAACUGUACUAUGCUCUUGAGAAAUUCCCAAGUCAUUGAUAAAACCAUGUACCAGAAGAUUCUUUAAACGCUUCUGUUCACUGCCAUAUUACUAUGCUUCAGGUUGGGACAAGCAAUGUAGAUGAAGAGUAGACGCCAAUAACCGUCCACCAGCCAUAAGGCCAUAGUAAAAAACCAUAUCCAGUCGUCGAUCGCCGGUGGUCAAGAUCACCAGCCAUUAAAUCAGAAUUUCAACAGAACCAACUGAAUUAUUGACUGGCUUGUCGUUCCUCUGAAUUUCAAAACCAACAUCGACUUGUACCAUGAAUAUACCGCAGGAAUCUCAUUUCACGGCUGCCAAGUGUGAACUUUUCCUGGAUCAUGAUAUACCUGCUGCCAUGUAACAGCAGGUGAAAUUAUCCGGUCUUGUAACACACCAUAACAUACAUCAGAGCACCAACAACAUUAGCAUUAAGGGGAACACUUCGACCAUAUGCUUUCGCCUCAUCAUUGUGCAAGGAGACAUAAGAAGCAUCUUUGAAGUGAAAGAGGCAACGGCGUACAAACAGGUUUAGCUGAAACUAUAUAUGCAAAUUUCUGUAGAACUUUAUUCAAAUACUGAGUUGAGUCAACCAAAAUGUACCUUCACUCUGUCCCUCUUAAUCUCAUUCCCAGAAUUUUCUGGCUUCACCAAGAUCUUCAUUUCAAUCUGACUGAGUGGAGCGGUCAAUCUGUCAAUUUCCAACCUUGCUCUUAGAUGCGCAUCAGCAUAUCAUCCACAUAUAAGAGCAAUUAAAUCAUGGAACCGUCGUGGAGUUGCGGAAAUACACACAAUGAUCAAUGAAUCCUUAUAUAUUGUUGCUCCACCAUAAACUGAUCAAAUCGCUUAUUAUUAACCACUGUCGAGGGGAGACUUGCUUCAAGCAAUAUAAAGACGUACUAAACCGACAUGCCAAAUGUUCUUUGCAAGGUUACUUUGAACCAUCUGAUGGUUGAGCCAUGUAUAUUUCCUAUCCAAAUCACCCUGUAGAAACGGUUUUGACUCGAGUUGAGCCAACUCAGAGCAAAUGAGCAAACCAAAGCUAAUUAAAAUACGAAUAGACGAAUGCUUAACAAGGAGAAAUAAAUCAUUAAGUCUAUCCUUCUUUCUGAGCGUAGCUUUCGCCACAAUCAAGCUUGUGGAAUCUGAGUCCUGGAGUAUCUUCCUUUUGGAAAAACACAUUGCAACCAGAUUUGCUUCUUUCUUUAGGCAUUGUACCAAACUCCCAAGUCUGUUCUUGUGAAGCGACUUCAUUUAUAAUCCAUAGCAUACUUCAUUUUAGAUUUUCGUACUUUGUUAUGGAACCUUGUAAAUACACCGGAACUCCCUCAAUCACUGGAAGUGCAUAGGCCACAGUAUCACGUAUAUUCGAGCAGGUCUCGAAUCACUCUCGGUUUCUACUAGUCGCGAUAGAAUCUUGCUGAUUGUGAAGUUUGAGCCUAUUUCAAAUUGUUUGGUCUGUUAGUACAACAUCAUCGGAUUCUGUCAGAAUAUCAAAUUUCUCGGAAAAGUCUUAGUUGGCACUACUUGACUCUGAAGCUCCACCUACUGAGUAGGAUGUUCGGACUCAGAUUUCUCUUUCUCCGACAGAUGUAAACAUCCCAGACUCAUCAAAAGUAGUACAUCUCUGCUCAGAACAACUUUCUUAAAAUCGGGCCCCAAAGCUGUAUGCCUUUGUACCAGAACUAAAACCCAAAAAUAUGGCUUUCCUUGGCUCUGGAUCCAACUUGGAUUCAGUAGUCACUAUAGAAAAAUGCAGAACAUCUAAUACAUGCUAAAUAAUCACUAAUCUGAAACAGGUUUGACCAGGACCAUACAUCCAUUGGUGUUUUGUCACCAAUCACAGCUGCAGGUAAUUCUGUUUGACGAGAUGAGAGGCAUAGCUCACUGCCUCUGCCCAAAAGGCCCGUUGCUCAAUCCGAUGAGUUGUGAGAACAACAGGCAUCGAAAUUUCGUCACCAGAGUACGGUUCAUGCGUCUGCUACUCCGUUCUGCUGAGGCUGUACGACGAAGUGUGAAGUGUUUGACUUAUCCCUUCCUCUGGCAUAUCUUGAGAAAUGGAUCAUAUCUGUAUUCGCUCCAUUAUAAGAUCAAGAGCUUCUUGAUUUUUCUGCAUGUUUCUGAUUCUCCACCAUUUGCUUCCAACCAGAAAGGUAUAAGAACUUCAUCUUAUGUUUCUAGUGUAGACCCAAACUCGUCUGAGAAAGAAAUCGUCGAUAAACGUAAACAAACCAAUGUAUACCUCCCAAAGAAGAAGCCGUGUAGGUCCCAAACGUCAGUGUGAACAUAACCAGAUGCCUUUUCAGUUGAUGAAGUGCAGUGCCCAAACUUUAACACUAGUCUGCUUGCCCAACACACAAAUGCUCACACAAAUCAAUUUGUCCAGUCUUAGCUCCUUGUAGAAACUCAUUGUCGUACAAAGUUUGCAACAAAGCAUUAUCACCAGGCUGCCCCAAUCGCAUAUGCCAUAAAUCUAAAAAGUAUCUGAUCCAUCUAAUGUUGGAAAACGGCAACUACCCAUGUGACGAGGUAUCCCAUCGAGGAAAUGAAAGUAUACAAUUUCCCUUUCGCGUGCUCCUAUCAUAGAAACAAUCGCAAACUCGAAACAACUUUCAGAAUACCUCUUUCCAUAUGACCUUAUAACCUUUGAGUCUUAAGGUCCCAGAGAGGAUAAGAUUUUUCUUCAAAGUCCGGUACAUACGAACAUCAGUCAAAACUCUGAUAGUUCAUCGAACACCUUCAGUAGGAUCGUGCCUAAUCCCCAUUGUUUGCAGGCAUUGUCAUUACCCAUCAGAAAACACCCCCGUCGAACUCCUCAAGGCUCAAAAACAAAUCUCGGUAAGGAUCAGUUGAUAGGAACAUUCCCGAAUCCAGAAUCCACUCGUCAGAUGAUUAGUGGAUGUUUGCAACUGUCAACACUCAUCCAAAUCUUCAUCUUCUUUUUGUUCGGUGCCACAUUUGCUUUUGCGUUAUUUCUUUCCUUUGAUCGGACAAUAGCCAUUCCAAUGGCCUUUCCGAGGACAAUAGGCACACUUCAUCUUUGCAAGUUGGCGCCUAUCAGAUGAUUUUUCUCUGAUGUUGAGCGAGAUUUCACCUCCCUGUAGAUUUUAUGCGGGUACUGUUACACUCACCCCUUGCUUGUAAAUGAAUCUGAAACUCGAUUCCCUGUGAGCAUACGAUCUUUCUUCGUACCUCAUUAUUCAUCAAGGCAUUAGACACAUCAUUAAAAUUCAUUUCAUCGUUACCAUAUAAGAGAAGGUGGUAGUUGUCAAAUGCUCAGAAGUUUCAGGAAAGGCAAUUUAAUAACAAAAGAGCUUAUCUUCAUCACAAUUUCAACAUCCAGAUUUGCAGAUCAGCCAAAAUUUUAUUGAAACUUUCAGAGCUCAUUCAUAGACGUACCUUGCUUGUAUUGGAAAGCAAAGAGUUCUUUUUAGAUAAGCCGGUUCUCAACACUCUGCGUCAUGUAAUUUCUCGGUUUGUCCAUAACUCCUUUGAUGAGGUCUAUUUCCAUAACAAAAAAAAAAAAUACUUCUGGUCUUUGGCAAGACAAAGUCUGAUAGUACCGCAGCUUGGCGAUGAAGCUUGCCCCAAUCCUUCCUGAU